GUUUGACUCGUUUUUAUGGCUUUUUUUUUGGAUCAAAUGAUUCAUGGAUUUAUUUUGGGUGGACUUUUAUAUUCGACCUGUUAGAGUUUCUUCUUGGUGUUUGGUCUAUGCUUAUUUUAAACUUUCUGGUUACUUUUCUAGUGGUGUAUGAUCAGAAAAAGCGAAAGAGAUGUUGAAGAACACCGUCACUGUCUUGUUCUCUGUUCUAAUCAGUUUUCUACACCACUGGAAAGUUCGAUUUUCAACUCUGUUUUGGACUAUCUGAAAACCUUGGGUUGCGUUUAACAGGAGAAGAUCUUCUGAGCAUGGGCUUGCGUUCAGAACUUGCAUGGGCAUUGGCUUGCUCAAGGAUUCUUUCUCUGGAGCUAAUUUGAGUUCCUUGACUGGCUUCGAGGUGGAAAGGCUGGUCAACGAUGGAGGUUUUCAUUUUUGUGGAUUCUCGGGUCAAGUGCAACUGGGUUGAAGAACCCAUGUGCCUAGGGUUUGUUUU
rnacentral:misc_RNA from 1 species